rnacentral:lncRNA from 10 species
CCUCCAUUGAUCUCAUGGUCCUUUUUGCCACCAAAGAGGUUUGACCCCCAGAGCAGAAGACAAGGGAUGUCAUAUUGUAUCUAUAGGUUCAUCAGCUAAGAUAUGGAGUCCAAGCCAGCUUGAACAGGAUCAUCUGAGGGAGAGAAGAUGAAGAAGAGACUGUCCAAUAUGGUAGUCACCAGUGUCAUACGGCUAUGGAGCCCUAGAACUGCGGCUGACGACAUUGAGAUGUGCUAGAAUGAGAGAACCCUCUGAUGUGGAGUGAGCAGGACCUGAAAUUACUUCCAGAACUAUCCUUGGCACACACCACAAAGCCCCAAAGCUUUGACUUGUAAGUUUCUAUAGUCUUGCUGGUCAUGCCCUGGAAUGACUCAGCAGGAUCAAGACCAGUUACAAAAUUUUACCACUUUUCUUUGUGCCCAGUCUAGAAAGAUUUCUGAGAAGGGUUGUGAUGUAUCCCAAAUGAUAUGCAGAAGUGUAUGGGAGUGUAGGUGACUAUGCUGCAGGUAUGUUUUUUUGCCCAGUGUACACUUGUGAGGUCCUGGUCAACAUAAAGAAUAAAGACAGGUUGCCUCUUUGUUUUCACACUCGACUGUUCCCACUAUGCUAUGGCUAACUCUAUGCUGCUCUCAAGGACACAGCUGUCUCUCCUCCAUCAUAAUGUAAAGAUAAAGCCCACAUGGAACUCAGCAAGGCAGAUACACCAAAGACAGGAAGAAUCUGAAAUUGUGAAAAGUUCAAAUUUUAUAUGUAGAAGUAUAUAUCUUACAAUCCUAUAUAAAAGUUCAUAUAUAUAUAGAUAGAUAGAUAGAUAUAGAUAUACAUAAUUACUUGAAAGUAUUGUACACCUGCAUACACAUAUGUAUUUGCAUAUAUGUGCAGGCAAAGAAAGUACUGGAAAGUAGGCAGUUGAGAUUUUCAAAUGCUUUGAAUGGCUAUUUUAAUGAAGAGCUAAGAAUGAUUUACAAAGUUUAGUUCUUCUAAAGUACUUGAAAGCAAUUUCUUCUCAAUGGUAGGUAAGGAAUCCCUGUUUUUGAUCUUGUUUCACUCACUUUUUUUUAGAAAACUUUAAAUAUAAUAUACAUAUAAAUAAGAUGAUGCAGCAUUUGUUUUUCUGUAUCUGGCUUAUUUCGCUUAGCAUAAUAUCCUCUAUGUCCACCCACUUUGUUGCAAAUGACUGAAUUUCCGUUCGUUUUAAGGCUGAAUGGUAUCCCAUUGUGCAUACAAUGUUCACCAGAGGCUUGGGUAGGAGGAGGAAAGAAAUAGAUAGUUACUGGUCAAAGGAUAAAAAAUGUCAGAGAGACAGGAGGAAUAAAUUUGAGAUCUAUUGUACAUCAGGAUAACUAUAGUCAAGAAAAAAUAAUGUACAUAAAGGCAUUUAGUCAAAAGUGGAUUAUCUAAUUCCAGACUUGUGAGAACUUACAGAAAUGAAGGCAUAUCUGAGAAAGUAUUUGCAAAUAACCACUACUUCACUAUUCCAAAAUUAAUGUCCAAAAGGCCUCUCUGAUUAUCCAAAUCCAGAGAAAAUAAAUUUUGAAUACAUAAUACAAGGAUAUCCUUGUAAAAAGUGAUGGCAGCUGCCCCUGCACAGAGAAAUGGAGGGGCUUAGAGAGAGAAUUACAUAUUUAUAUACUUUUGUGUCUGUUAAAUUUUGAAUCAGGUGUUUUCCCUAUUCAAAAAAAAUGGAAAUUAACAUCUUUUAAAAUUACUAUUCAGUGUUACUAUUUUUACUUAAUCUCUCUUUGACAAGCCAUUUAUCUUACAUUUAUUCUCCUCAUGUAUUUGCCAUGACUUCCAAAAUCUUCAAGAAAUCUCAUUGCUUCGUUUUUAUCUCUGCACCAUGUUCAUUUCUCCUCACUCAUAUGUUGCACCAAAAAUAUUCUUCAGCACUUUUCAUGUUUUUAUGCUGCAUGUCUACAUUUGGAUUAUGGUUUUCCAGGGAGAUUGCAAAGGGAGGUAAUAUGAGUGUUAGUUCUCAUUGACAGCCUACGUUAGAAUUUUAGCUCCUGCCUCUUACUAAUUUUAUAUCCAUGGUCACAUAACUAAAAAUCUCUAAUACUCAGUUCCUUCAUUUUGAAAAGAGGAUAAUAAUAGUAAUAAUAUCUUGUUGUGUUGUCAAAAUAUUAAAUAGUACAUGUAAAAUACUUUGCCUAGUACUCUGUACACUGUAUUCACUCAAUAAAUAAU